rnacentral:rRNA from 1 species
CCCUUAGAUGUUCUGGGCUGCACGCGCGCUACACUGAAGCUAUCAACACGUUUCCCCUCCCUGAGAAGGGCGGGUAACCUUUUGAAUCAGCUUCGUGGUAGGGAUCGGGGCUUGCAAUUGUUCCCCGUGAACCAGGAAUUCCUAGUAGACGCGAGUCAUAAGCUCGCAUCGAUUAAGUCCCUGCCCUUUGUACACACCGCCCGUCGCUACUACCGAUUGAACGUUUUAGUGAGGCAUUUGGACCGACGCAUCUCAGUUUAACCGCUGGUUUGUGUUGGAAAGACUUCCAAACUUGAGCGUUUAGAGGAAGUAAAAGUCGUAACA